CAGAUGGAAGAGCCACUGACAAGGCCUCUUAUUUAAAGAGUGCCUGAAGUGAGGAAGCAAACCCCCAAAUCAUCUGGGAUGGUAUGAACUGAACUCUGGACCGCAACAUGAUGGAAAGGAGGAGCUGGGGUCCCAAGGGCAGUCCAGACAACCUGAACCUGUGACACUCACCCUGCCCACACACUCUCAGAGCUGCAGCUUUCACGGGGACCCAAUUCUUGCUAAUUCUUUGUAGGUGACAUGAAUGCUUGUAAAUGAGCUUGCUGAAUGGGAGACCAAGAACGAUGAUAUUGAGCUGUUACUACAUGCCAGACAUUUAAC
rnacentral:lncRNA from 10 species